rnacentral:lncRNA from 1 species
UUAUUCAGCCUAAAGGUGUCUUGGGGUUUUUUUAUUUUAUUGCUUUCACUUAACUGCCGUGAUUUAAAAACCAGGAGACUUAGCUCAAACAAGCAAAACCCUCCAUUGUUGGCUUCUCUUUAUUAGUUAGGUCUGGCGACUUGGGGCCUACAUUCCUGAAGGGCAGUGGUCAGGCUGCCUGCAGCUUUGCUGCUCCCUCCUUGCCGCCCCCGCCCCCUGGAGGCAUCUCAAGUUGGAAACCUUGCUGUGGGGAUGAGGACAGCUGCUGAAGUGCACUAAGCCAGGGGCUCGGUGAUGCAGUUAAGGGUUCACUUCGGAAGGGCCACUAGAACACCCUUUACCAGGGCCAGAGAUGUGCGGAGGAGUAUAAGUCAGAACGCUUCAGGUGUGUGUUGUAGGAAGCCAACUUGCCCUUAAACCAAGGAGGACAAGUAUUAGUCCAUUUUUUGUGUGUGGCUAUAACAAAAUCCUUGAAUAGACUACUUUAUAAGGAAAAGAGGUUUCUGGUUGGGGGUGUAACCCAGUGGUAGAGCACUUGCCUACAUGGAUGAGGCCCUGGGUUUGAUCCCCAACACCACAAAAAACAAAAACCACACACAUACACACACAACCAGGAAAAAAGGUUGAUUUUGACUCAGUCCUGUAAGUGCAGUGUGGAGGGGCUGCAUCGGGUGAUGGGCUUCUUGCUGGCCAAGUCCUGGGGGUGCGGCCCAAGGUAUCCCAUGGGAAGAGAUGAGGAGUAUGCGCGUGUUUGCCUUAAAGCCGCCUGGAGACAGUCACUGUCCAGGGGUCCCACAACUCAACAUGUGAUCGAGAUAAGUUUCCACCCUCUUAACACGGCAUCUCCUGAUGAAGCUGCAGGGCCACCCCAACAGUCUGCCCAGCCCGGCACAUUUGUUGGGAGGGCAGGGCAGGCUCAUGAGCCAGGCCUAGAGCCUUUGAAGCCACUGGUGUCCUCUCCGUCGUUGCCUGCGUUUCUCUGCCAGCGUGCUCGUGCUCGUGCUCGUGCUGGG